rnacentral:rRNA from 1 species
AACGGCCGUACCAUGGUGAAUAUACCGGUUCUCGUUAGAUCACCGAAGUUAAGCAUCAUUGGGCGCGGUCAGUACUUGGGUGGGUGACCACCUGGGAACACUGCGUGCCGUU